rnacentral:rRNA from 1 species
GACGAACGCUUGCGGCGUGCCUAAGAAAUGCAAGUCGAGCGAGGUUAGUAGCUUGCUACGAAACCUAGCGGCGAACGGUCGAGUAACACGUAGGCAACCUGCCCUGAAGCGGGGGAUAGCCCACCGAAAGGUGGAUUAAUACCGCAUGUGGUCAUAUUUGGGCAUCCUUAUAUGACUAAAGCAGCAAUGCACUUCAGGAUGGGCUUGCGGCCUAUCAGCUAGUUGGUGAGGUAACGGCCCACCAAGGCGACGACGGGUAGCUGGUCUGAGAGGAUGGUCAGCCGGACUGGGACUGAGACACGGCCCAGACUCCUACGGGGGCAGCAAUUAGGAAUCUUGCGCAAUGGGGGAAACCCUGACGCAGCGACGCCGCGUGAAGGAUGAAGGCCUUCGGGUCGUAAACUUCUUUUAUUGGGGAAGAAGUAAGUGACGGUACCCAAUGAAUAAGCCCCGGCUAACUACGUGCCAGCAGCCGCGGUAAUACGUAGGGGCGAGCGUUGUCCGAAGUUACUGGUACG